AACUUGUUUAUGAAACUUGUUGAAUUGAUUUUUGAACAGUGCCAGUUACAGUUAGAAAAAAGAUGUUAGUUAGCUCUUAUCAGUUAGUUAAAUGGAGUUAGUAGUUUUGGAAUAGGAAAUAUGGUUUGAUUGUUAUGUGUUAGUGUAGUUAAACUUGAAAUUUGAAUUGAUUGGUAUGAUUGUUGUAUGAAUGAAUGUUGUUUGUUAUUUGCAUUCUAGUUGUUAAGUUAAAGGGCUGCUUAUGCUAGUUAAUGAAUGAGUUGGUAUAUUAUUGUUAGUGUUUUAGGAAUUGUUGAAUUGUUGUUAGUUUAGGAAAAAUAGUAAUUGAAACAGAUUGGUUAUAGUUUGUUUGUAUUGAACUGAAUUGAAACUUAUAAGAUAGUUAGAGGUUUUGUCUAAGUCAGACACUUCGUUAAUAAUUGAAUUGUGUUAAUGCAAUGUAUUGGACUUGAUGCUUGUGUAUUGUAUGAAAAUUGUUCAUGGACACUAGUUUAUAUAUGUGUAGACGUAACAUGUUUGUAUGGCUGAACUUUUGCAAAGAGUAUGAUGCUAACUUUUCAUAUUGCUGCAGGGCUAAUGGACACUUGGCUUGACAUGACACAAGGUUUGGCAAGGCAUUUUGGACAUGAAGCAUGUCAUGACAUAUCAAGAUAUCAAUUGUUGAAAAACAUCAAGAUUCAUGAAGAAACUUGAAGACUCUGGAGGCAAAAAUGGGAUGGUUUGUAAAUAAAGGGAAGAGUUGGGAUUAGGGUUUAGGAUUAGUAGGUGACUUUGAUCAACUGUUUGACCAAAAAGUCAACAGUUUAUUAAAAGUCAGUUGUAGGCAGAAAAAUGUGUCAUCUUGUGUAUAACUUCAUGAUUUGGACUUUGUAAUAUGGUUUGAAUGUUUUUAAUAAAAACAGGCUUCUUUUUUAAAUGAAAUGUGUAACUUGUAUGUCAAGUAACAUGCUUUUACCUCCAUAGUUUGAACCUUUGAACUUGUUUUUUGAAAUGUCCUUGAAUGACUUCAUCUUUAUCGUUACCCUUGACUAAAAAUACCAAGUCAAGAAUAAAACAAUAUUCAAUAGUAAUCAUUAAGUAGGCUUCAUAUGAAAAAUGAUUACCAAAAUUCAAUCUUGACAAUGACCUCCAAAAUCAACAGUCUCAUGAUGCAAUCCAUAGUAACCAAAGACCAUAGUCCAAGAAUUAGGAUUCCGCAAGAGUUGAUCCAUAAAGAAUGAACUAACCAUCAUUGUUGUGUCAAAAUAGUCAAGACAUAACAUAAGCUUGAUCUAAUAGCUUUGUAUCACAAAUAGCAAGACCCUUUGAAUCAAUGAAGUUAUUUAAAAAAUGCAACUGUAAAUGAAUGUCUUAUGAUGGAUGAUUAGGACAUGUGAAUAUGCAGAUGCAAUGAGCCAUGGACCAUAUGAAGUGAAAGACGUAGGGAAAAUUCUGCAUUUACUUCUUUACAUUUUUAUUCAGUUUCCAUAAAUUCAAAGUUAGAACCUUGUAGCAAGAAUACAUUUCUCAAACAUCUCGCAUAAAAAUUUACUUAAGAUUUUUUCGAAUUUAAUUCUUUAAGUGAACUAAAACUUAUAAUUUAAAUAUAGAAUUUCUAAUAUAAAUAAACUUGUUGCCACUUAUUCGAUGCUUCAUUUAUACAACUAAUUUUUUUUUUAUCAUUCUUUAUCGUUGUUUCACUUUUUAGAUUUUUCCCAUAUCUAUUGCGAAAGGCUAGAAUCUAAAUAUAUGAUAAAAUACAUAAUAAAGACUUUUGAUGAUCAACAAAAAUUUUAUGGUAUAAGUUUAUUGAAGUUAAAUGAUCCAUA
rnacentral:lncRNA from 1 species